CCCUUAGAUGUUCUGGGCCGCACGCGCGCUACACUGAUGCAUUCAACAAGCCUAGCCUUGACCGAGAGGUCCGGGUAAUCUUUGAAACUGCAUCGUGAUGGGGCUAGAUUAUUGCAAUUAUUAAUCUUCAACGAGGAAUGCCUAGUAAGCGUGAUUCAUCAAAUCGCGUUGAUUACGUCCCUACCCUUUGUACACACCGCCUGUCGCUCCUACCGAUUGAAUGUGUUGGUGAGGAGCUCGGAUUGGCAGCAGUUGGUGGUUCGCCACCGGCUAUUGCUGAGAAGUCCUCCAAACCGCCCCAUUUAGAGGAAGGAGAAGUCGUAACA
rnacentral:rRNA from 1 species